rnacentral:rRNA from 1 species
UACGUAGGGGGCGAGCGUUGUCCGGAGUUACUGGGCGUAAAGGGCAUGCAGGCGGUCGGACGCGUUUCGGGUGGCAGCGGGUGGCUUAACUACCCGAGUGGUCGAAAGACGGUUUGACUUGAGGACGCGAGAGGGACACGGAAUUCCGGGUGGAGUGGUGAAAUGCGUAGAGAUCCGGAGGAACACCAGUGGCGAAAGCGGCCACCUGGACUGCACCUGACGCUGAAACGCGAAAGCUAGGGGAGCGAACGGG